AAGCCAUGAAGGCUGAUCCGGCGCUUCUGCGGGGAGCUAUUCGUCUCAGUCUGGGCUGGGACAGCACGGAAGCGGACAUAGAUCGCUGUCUAGAGGCUUGGAGAAAGCUCUCAGGUGUAUUAGGUAAAGCCCAUGCAAUCGGGCUUGAACGGUUCUAACGUUCGCGCAGUGCGUGUGCUCAAGCCUUAUACAACUUAAGCGGUCCACCGCGGUCCUUGAAACCGCGAGCGGAGGAUUGAAAUGCCGGC
rnacentral:misc_RNA from 1 species